rnacentral:tRNA from 1 species
UGGGGAUUGGUCUAAUGGUAGGACAGCUGACUCUGGAUCAGCUGGUAGGGGUUCGAAUCCUCUAUCCCCAGCAA